CGCAGGUUCGAAUCCUGCACGACCCACCAAUCGCUAAGGUGGAACGCGAUUGUAAAACGUGAAGGAUAACGUUGCGUAAGCAACGGCCCGUAGGGCGAGGCAAAGCCGAGUCAUCCUGCACGACCCACCA
rnacentral:sRNA from 1 species